CACGUAGGGGACGAGCGUUGUCCGGAUUCAUUGGGCGUAAAGAGCUCGUAGGCGGUGUGUCGCGUCGGCCGUGAAAACCUGCAGCUUAACUGUGGGCUUGCGGUCGAUACGGGCAUCACUGGAGUUCGGCAGGGGAGACUGGAAUUCCUGGUGUAGCGGUGAAAUGCGCAGAUAUCAGGAGGAACACCGGUGGCGAAGGCGGGUCUCUGGGCCGAUACUGACGCUGAGGAGCGAAAGCAUGGGGAGCGAACAGG
rnacentral:rRNA from 1 species